ensembl:lncRNA
CAGCGGUUAUGGUCAGGGAAGCGGCGCUGGAAUGGGUAGCGGUGCUGGAAUGGGAAGCGGCGCGGGCCAGGGGAGCGGCGCUGGAAUGGGGAGCGGUAAUGGUCAGGGUAGCGGCGCCGGAAUGGGUAGCGGCGCGGGCGAGGGUAGUGGGGCCGGCAUGGGUAGCGGCGCUGGAAUGGGUAGCGGUGCUGGAAUGGGUAGCGGCGCUGGAAUGGGAAGCGGCGCUGGAAUGGGAAGCGGUUCUGGUCAGGGCAGCGGCGCUGGAAUGGGCAGCGGCGCUGGAUUGGGUAGCGGCGCGGGCAUGGGUAGCGGCGCUGGAAUGGGCAGCGGCGCGGGCCAGGGCAGCGGCGCUGGAAUGGGUAGCGGCGCGGGCCAGGGAAGCGGCGCCGGAAUGGGAAGCGGCGCCGGAAUGGGAAGCGGUUAUGGUCAGGGCAGCGGCGCUGGAAUGGGCAGCGGCGCUGGAUUGGGUAGCGGCGCGGGCCAGGGUAGCGGAGCCGGAAUGGGAAGCGGCACCGGAAUGGGAAGCGGCGCUGGACAGGGCAGCGGCGCUGGAAAGGGCAGCGGCGCUGGAAUGGGUAGCGGCGCGGGCCCGGGUAGCGGAGCGGGAGUGGGAAGCGGCGCGGGCCAGGGUAGCGGCGCCGGAAUGGGAAGCGGCGCUGGAUUGGGUAGCGGGGCGGGCCAGGGUAGCGGAGCUGGAAUGGGAAGCGGCGCUGGAAGGGGAAGCGGCGCGGGCCAGGGGAGCGGAGCCGGAAUGGGAAGCGGCACCGGAAUGGGAAGCGGCGCGGGCCUGGGUAGCGGCGCUGGAAUGGGUAGGGGCGCGGGCCAGGGUAGCGGCGCGGGAAUGGGAAGCGGCGCGGGCCAGGGCAGCGGCGCUGGGAUGGGAAGCGGCGCGGGCCAGGGUAGCGGCGCGGGAAUGGGUAGCGGCGCUGGCCAGGGAAGCGGCGCUGGAAUGGGUAGCGGCGAGGGCCAGGGCAGCGGCGCUGGAAUGGGAAGCGGCAAUGGUGAGGGUAGCGGCGCGGGAAUGGGAAGCGGCGCAGGAAUGGGAAGCGGCGCGGGACAGGGAAGCGGAACAGGAAUGGGAAGCGGCGCUGGAAUGGGAAGCGGCGCGGGCCAGGGAAGCGGCGCUGGAAUGGGAAGCGGCGCGGGCCAGGGCAGCGGCGCUGGAAUGGGAAGCGGUAAUGGUGAGGGUAGCGGCGCUGGAAUGGGAAGCGGCGCGGGCCAGGGAAGCGGGCAGGGAUGUGGUCAAGGAAGUGGUCGGCGAUGUGGCCAAGGUCAAUGAUGUGCUCAGUGAAAUGGUCAUGGGAGGUUUGCACAAUACUUUCUGGAGAUCUUUUCAAUUCAGUGCUUUAUUCAUAUGGCAUGUUUUCACUGUUUGCUCAAACAGUUUAGAAAGAUUGUAUCUCCCCCACUACCACCUCAAAUAAAAAUAAUUGCUAAAUUGAAGAGUUGGUGUUUUUGGUAUCAUUUGGCUGUUUUCUCACAGUUGCUCUCUGGCAUCAGUGCUUGAAGUUCUUCCUGAGACCUGGACAAAGUAUUGUGUGGGUGGUUUUUUUUUUUUUUUUUUUUUUUUUUCGGUUUUGUAUUUGUUUACAAAUGGAUUUUUUUAUUUUUUUUGGGGGGGGUGUAUGUGGAAAAUGUAAUUAGAAGGAAAACGUAUUACAUUCAAGUUAAAUAAUUUUGAUGUGUAGUAUUCAAAUGCAUGUAAUUUUCUUGUACAUCUUUUUAUUAUUUGGAGAACAUUGUUAAUUUUGUAAAAAUGAAAUUUCAUUUUUACGUAUAUAAUGGAUAAACAUUUUAUUCAGUGGAGUGAAAUGCCAAAUGCGUUCCAUCAAGUCUUGCUCAUAGGGAAAACACUGGAAUGUAAAAAUGACUAAUCAAACUGUUCAUA